rnacentral:rRNA from 1 species
CAAUUGGCAUUGCCCCAGUACGGCGAGUGAGCGGCAACAGCUCAAAUUUGAAAUCUGGCUCCUAGAGUCCGAAUUGUAAUUUGCAGAGGAUGCUUUUGAUGCGGUGCCUUCCGAGUUCCCUGGAACGGGACGCCAUAGAGGGUGAGAGCCCCGUCUGGUCGGAUGCCAAAUCUCUGUAAAGCUCCUUCGACGAGUCGAGUAGUUUGGGAAUGCUGCUCUAAAUGGGAGGUAUAUGUCUUCUAAAGCUAAAUAUUGGCCAGAGACCGAUAGCGCACAAGUAGAGUGAUCGAAAGAUGAAAAGCACUUUGAAAAGAGGGUUAAAAAGUACGUGAAAUUGUUGAAAGGGAAGCGCCUAUGACCAGACUUGGGCCCGGUGAAUCAUCCAGCGUUCUCGCUGGUGCACUUUGCCGGGCACAGGCCAGCAUCAGUUUGGCUCGGGGGAAAAAGGCUUUGGGAAUGUAGCUCCCCUCGGGGAGUGUUAUAGACCAUUGCACAAUACCCUGGGCCGGACUGAGGUUCGCGCAUCUGCAAGGAUGCUGGCGUAAUGGUCAUCAGCGAUCCGUCUUGAAACCACGGACCACUG